UACGUAGGGUGCGAGCGUUGUCCGGAAUUAUUGGGCGUAAAGAGCUCGUAGGCGGCUUGUCGCGUCGGAUGUGAAAGCCCGGGGCUUAACUCCGGGUCUGCAUUCGAUACGGGCUAGCUAGAGUGUGGUAGGGGAGAUCGGAAUUCCUGGUGUAGCGGUGAAAUGCGCAGAUAUCAGGAGGAACACCGGUGGCGAAGGCGGAUCUCUGGGCCAUUACUGACGCUGAGGAGCGAAAGCGUGGGGAGCGAACAGG
rnacentral:rRNA from 1 species